AGUGAGCGCCGGCGGUAGGCCUAACACAUGCAAGUCGAACGGCAGCACAGUAAGAGCUUGCUCUUACGGGUGGCGAGUGGCGGACGGGUGAGGAAUACAUCGGAAUCUACUUUUUCGUGGGGGAUAACGUAGGGAAACUUACGCUAAUACCGCAUACGACCUACGGGUGAAAGCAGGGGAUCUUCGGACCUUGCGCGAUUGAAUGAGCCGAUGUCGGAUUAGCUAGUUGGCGGGGUAAAGGCCCACCAAGGCGACGAUCCGUAGCUGGUCUGAGAGGAUGAUCAGCCACACUGGAACUGAGACACGGUCCAGACUCCUACGGGAGGCAGCAGUGGGGAAUAUUGGACAAUGGGCGCAAGCCUGAUCCAGCCAUACCGCGUGGGUGAAGAAGGCCUUCGGGUUGUAAAGCCCUUUUGUUGGGAAAGAAAAGCAGCAGGUUAAUACCCCGCUGUUCUGACGGUACCCAAAGAAUAAGCACCGGCUAACUUCGUG
rnacentral:rRNA from 1 species